rnacentral:rRNA from 1 species
AAUAUCAAAGGUGAGCCAGUACAGGAUGGACCCGCGUCUGAUUAGCUAGUUGGUAAGGUAACGGCUUACCAAGGCGACGAUCAGUAGCCGACCUGCGAGGGUGAUCGGCCACAUUGGAACUGAGACACGGUCCAAACUCCUACGGGAGGCAGCAGUGGGGAAUAUUGCACAAUGGGCGAAAGCCUGAUGCAGCAACGCCGCGUGAGUGAUGAAGGCC